ensembl:lncRNA
GACCGCCGGUAACCGUGGAGCCAGACCGUCCAAUCAGGAGAUCCAGGGAGGAGAGCGAGGUGUCAAGCGUCGCUGACGGCGGUGUUCUUCACGUGCGGAGGGGAGAGAUAAGAUGACUGGCUCGUGCUGAAUCGAGAAGUGGGUUUGGAGCAGAUCACGGUGGUGUGGGGUUGUCAACGACACCUGAGGCCUCGCGCCUCGUCCAGGCUGUGCGCGCGGAGGCCUAGAUGAGACGUUCACCGACGACUCGUGACGUCUCAAGGAUGCGAUCGAAUACAUCUUCAUUGGGAGACACCGAGAGAGGAUUGACUCGUGUCACUCACAGCCCGUGGGGCUCCGAAUGCCUCCACCGGAGGAUGUGUAGAUGAGCGUGACGACCUGUCAUCCUUCCCCCGGUCCCAGUGCCUGACGGCCAGCUAGCUCCCGGCGGCUGCACCGCGGGUCUGGCUGAGAGCGGAUGGAUUACAGUGCAUUUGGAGGUUCAGUCCUUGACUCCGAGAUCCCGGGGGAAAACCUGGCGCCGUGAGGCCGGAUCAGACGAGCGGGAUCUGGACGGAUCCCACGUCCCGCGAGACCGAGACCCACUAACGGCAGAAAGACACUUUAGUGCUUUUAAGGAGAGGUAGAAAUCUGAGAGAUUAGCAACCUAUAGAAAAGAUUGUUACGAUUAUUAUUAGCACAUUAUUAGGUGGUUAUUCUAAUAUUAAUAUAUAUUAAUUUUCAUGAUAUGAAUACUUCUACUAUUACUUAUAAUAAUAAUAAUAAUAAUAAUAAUAAUAAUAAUAAUAAUAAUAAUAAUAAUAUAUUAGUAAUAUAACAAGUGGUAAUAUAAAAUAAUAAUAAUAAUUAUUAUUAUUAUUAUUAAUAAUGCAAAUAGCAUUUUCCUUAGUUUUUAUUGGUUGGUUAUUUUAUUUUAUCGCCUAUUAUAUUAUCAUUAUUAUAAUUUAUUGAUUGGAUUGUGUCAUGAUUAUUGGUAGUUGUGUUAGCAGCGGUGGUAUAGUGUUAAUAUUAUCUUAAUACUUAUAGACUGAUUGUACUAUUUAAUGGUAACUGGCCAUCUUGUUUAGAUCUUAAACUGUACCUUUUUAAAGUGAAUAAAACAGCCUAUGUCUGGUUCUAAUCGAGGCCUGUGUGCGGUUUAAACUCAAAAAACAACUUUGUUGUUCAGUUUUUGUCUGAAAUAAAGCCAUCGAUUGGCCCUGAGCGGGCUGAGGGUCUGAGUCGGUUAGCGGGGCUCAGAGUGUAUUAUCGGGACUGCUCGGCCCUCGCGCUACUAUUUAGGAGGAUCUAAUUCGGUUUGAUAAAGAACAUCGAUUGUCGUUAACCUGCUCGUUAUUUUCACUUGAAGUUUAUUGAAAGAGAGGGGUAUUAGUUUAUCGGAAUUGACUAUCCCCUCACUGCCCUUUCUGAUGACUGCGUGACUAUUGGUUAAAUAAUAAUGAG